GGAGGAGAAGCUGCCGUAGCUGCCGUUCUUGCCCAGCUGGCCCAGGUGAGGGAUUUGCUUCUUCCCUUUGACCAGGAUACGUCCCCUCAGGUCCUACGAGGGAACAUCAUUAGAGGUGUGACGCUUGGUGGGCAUAGCGAUGCCGGAUUUGUUCUUCCAAGGAUGCGUCGGGCAAGAACACAGCGUAAGUAUGUAGUACCUCAGGUGAAGGUAGAUCCUUAAGCGUCUGGCUGCUGAUGGGCUUGGUGAGCAGCUUGUGGCCCAGGAUGUUGUGAAGGUGUUUGGCCAUGACCACCUGCUGCUCCACGGAACAAUGGUUCUCCAGGGACAGGAUUAAAGGGUACGGGGACGCCUGCGGGGAAAAACGAUGGCGAAAUCACAACAACUCAAAGGGACCACAGACAGAAGUUGAGUGUGUUUCUACAGAGUGACUGCCAGAAACAAGUAUUUUACAGCUAUUUACAGCAUGUUUCACCGUUUCAUGAGGAUUUUUUUUUUUCAUUUUCUAUUUUUGUUCCUUUUUAAAAAAUGUUU